CUUUCUUGUUUUUCAUUUCUCUGCUUCCUUGUAGAGUUGUGCUGCGUCGCGUAAAAUCCAUUUUACAGCUGUAUAUUAUUUUUGUGAAUGAAGGUGCAUAGUUCAUGAAAAUUUUCAGUGGCGAAACUUUUGAGUAGGGCAGGUAAGUUUGAAAAAUUUGUAAAAAUGUUGUAAUUUAAUCUAUCAUUAUUAAAUUUAGGACUGACAAAGAGUUGGUGGUUGUCGGUGUUUGGAGUGCUGCAGGUGUCGCAUAAAUUGGAGGUUUCAGCGUUUAUGAGAAAUAGGGGGCAUGUUGGAACCUGCAUACCAGUGACGAGACGGCGGUUCUGGGAAAAAUUGAGAGAAAUGGUGAUAGAUCUGGGAGAGAGCAUCUUUUACUGAGAGGUCUGAUUGAAUUAUAGAACCGACUUGAGCCGCAUGUUUGGCGAAGAAAUCUGCGCGCUCAUUUGCAGGGAUGCCAAUAUGUGAGGGAU
rnacentral:sRNA from 1 species